UACAGAGGGGGCAAGCGUUGUUCGGAAUUACUGGGCGUAAAGGGCGCGUAGGCGGCCUUCCAAGUCAGACGUGAAAUCCCUCGGCUCAACCGGGGAACUGCGUCUGAGACUGGAAGGCUUGAAUCCGGGAGAGGGAUGUGGAAUUCCAGGUGUAGCGGUGAAAUGCGUAGAUAUCAGGAGGAACACCGGUGGCGAAGGCGGGUCUCUGGGCCGAUAUUGACGCUGAGGAGCGAAAGCGUGGGGAGCGAACAGG
rnacentral:rRNA from 1 species